rnacentral:rRNA from 1 species
UACAGAGGUCUCAAGCGUUGUUCGGAUUCAUUGGGCGUAAAGGGUGUGUAGGUGGCGCCGUAAGUCGGGGUGUGAAAUUUCGGAGCUUAACUCCGAAACUGCAUUCGAUACUGCGGUGCUUGAGGACUGGAGAGGAGACUGGAAUUCAUGGUGUAGCAGUGAAAUGCGUAGAGAUCAUGAGGAAGACCAGUGGCGAAGGCGGGUCUCUGGACAGUUCCUGA